rnacentral:tRNA from 1 species
GGGGGUAUAGAUAAGUUAUAGAGUACUUGCUUGGUAUGUGAAAGGUCCUGGGUUCAAUCCCCAGUACUACCA